GUGGAUUUUUCUCUAUGACUCCACAAUCGCAGCCAAAUUGCCGGCUUGAUUUGUGCCAACCGUCGUUAGAAUUUUCCGGCAAUGCGUAUCGGCAUAUGCCGUUCACGGCGUUGCUUUUACAGCCGGUGACCGCCGAUGACGGCGAAGAGAAAGUCGCCGAAGAAGAUGAGAAACAGUAGAGAUAUGGAUAAGUUUUAAUCCUUAUCUUUUUGUGAUAUAGACUAAUGGCA
rnacentral:misc_RNA from 1 species